rnacentral:rRNA from 1 species
UACAGAGGUGGCAAGCGUUGUUCGGAAUCACUGGGCGUAAAGCGCACGUAGGCGGAUGUGUCAGUCAGGGGUGAAAUCCCGGAGCUCAACUUCGGAACUGCCCUUGAUACAGCACGUCUUGAGUCCGGAAGAGGUGGGUGGAAUUCCUAGUGUAGAGGUGAAAUUCGUAGAUAUUAGGAAGAACACCGGUGGUGAAGGCGGCCCACUGGAUCGGUACUGACGCUGAGGUGCGAAAGCGUGGGGAGCAAACAGG